rnacentral:lncRNA from 1 species
GGCCGUCAGAUCAAACCGACAUUGAUUGGACGGUUAUCCUUGAUCCUUUAGGUCGGUGGAGAGUAAUCCCUGUAGAGAGUCCUGUUUGGACUCCAUGUCAGGGCGGGCGCCCAGGGAAGGAGGGCGGGCGCCCUACCUCUCGGCCCUUUCAGCCUCCGCUUCCUUCCAGUGGCUUUUGGAGUCUUCUAGAUGAUAGAAAAUUGCACGGCACGUUAAUAUCUCUAUGUAAACCCGACGUGUGGGCCUUUCUACCAUAUUUCCUGAUAACCCCCUGCAGAAAUAGACAAACACCAAAACUCGUGGAAUUCUGUCAGAUUGAACCCUAAGUCUGGGUGUUGGUUGCAUUUGGAUCCUUUUCUUUAUUUAUUUGAUGAUUACAUUUGGUACUUAAGGACCGUCAACAACACCCCCAGGCUUACCUCUUGCUCGUCCCUGAGCAAGGAUGAACUCAAGAGUUUCUGCAGUGGUUUCAUGCCUUAAAAAUACACAUGCGUUCAAGCAAGAUCUCAUCUCUGAGUUAGAGUAAACUGUUAAGACUUAAAACUUACUCAUUUUACCUUUCACCAUGGGGCUUGUAACCGUCACUUGUGUCUUGAGCAGUUAAAAGAUAGAACGGUCAAGUCAAGCGCCAUGUCUCUUAUUCUUGAUCAGCUAUAGCUCUGGAGUUUUUGCAGAUUUUCAAAUAAAACUCAGAGAUUCCUUAUAUGAUUCUCUCAAGUCUCUCUUUUGUGGUAUUUCUGGAUCCUUACCAAGGCAGUAAUGGUAUAUGCCUUCACUCAAAGUAUGUGGUAUUUUUGGUAUAAUACAUAGUGAUAUUACCUUCCCUCUCACCCUACUCUAAUAAGGUUUUGAUAUCUAGAGCUCUUAGGUGGGAGACAGCUAAUACAUACUUACAAGACAUUUAUUGCAUAGUCAAACCAUGGAUCCAGAGAAACAAGUCAAUAAGUCAAAUCAAGAUGUGCAUGUGUGGGGAAUGAAUGGUGUAUGGUGAUGAUGGUGAUAACAAUGGUGAAAGUCUAAUUCUAUUUUUGCUCUUUUAAGGGGAUACAUACCUUUCUUGCACUUUGAAGCUUUUUGGGGAGAAUGAGAUUCUCUAUAUUUUCUUUUUCUUUCCUCUCAGGUAGGUAUCUUGUACCCCUAAUUCUACCGUCAGACACUUGUCCAUUUUUACCUCUCGUCUCACUUUUUCUUUUCUUCGAGGUUCCGGGCACUUGCCCCUUUUUAUUUCCUCGUAUUCUUCAUUUUUUUUCUUUUCUUCUUCUUUUUUUAGAGCACUCAUCUCCUGAAAUAAUGUAGCAAGUGGUAGUAACCAAAAUAACUGGAGCAUUUAUUUCACAGGGAAUAACAGGGAUAGGAAAAUAUUUUUGGCUAUUCUCUCCCGGAUUAGGAGUAGAAUACUUUUGGGUGAAUCUAGAGAUGGAAAUGAGUGGAUGUAUGUGGAUGCGUACUUCCAGAGUAGAAGCAGCAUGUGUGAGUAAACGUGCAAGUGAAUCUUGAUUUUAACCGCAUGACAAGCUCCUAAGGGUCUACACAGCUUGACCACACUCAAUGCUCAUAAGUAGUAAAAAGUAAAUGUGUGGCUCAAAGUCUAAUAAGCAUGUAUAUAUGGCUGUGGUAGGAUUUUAAGCUCUCAUCAUACAGGAACUCAUCAUGUGUUAUUUUAAAGAUUUUUAAAGAUAAAAUUCUCCAGAAUUCUAGCAUCUCUAGGAGCAGAUAAACAGCAGCUCAACCUUCCCAUAUCAUAUCCGUUAACAACUUAGACUUUAGAUCAAGUACUCUUCCCACAAGUUCAGGUUUAGAGUAAGUCUUAAUUCAUAACAGUUAUGCCUAAACUUGAGAAAGAUUUCAAUUUUAAGAACUAGUCAUGGCAGAGCAACUAUUCAUCAGUUCCUUGUGAGAGCUUAUCAUGAGGGUUCAUAGCAAACUUUAUUUAUUUAUUUAUUUAGCAAACUAAGCAAAGAUAUAUAUAAAAGCACAAAAUCUUUAUUUGGGUUUUUAUGAUUAUGCAUCUUUUUAUUAUUUGAGUAAAGUAUAAACGCGAGUAUAAACACUUAGCUUGAUAAAUGGGGGUGCUCUCCCCCAAGCUGGAUUUUGACGUAAUUUCUUCUAAUGUAGCUAGCAGGUGGCAGAGGUGUAUUUGAAUGUCGGCAGCACCCUGAUAGCGAUUAGGAUGUCCUCCGUCUGCUAGUCUUCUUUGAUCCUUGAAUUUUGUGGAGCUCAAAUAGACAACAAAGCUUUGUGGAACUGGUUAAGUGUUAGCAUAAAAUCUCUUUGCCUUUAUCAUAUUGAGCUUCCUCUUAAUAAAUUUUAUUUAGCAGGAUCAUGCACUUAUUAUAUAUAUUUUUAUUGUAAGAUGAAAACAUAUUUAUUUUAUGCCACCACAGCCAUGAGCAUACUCACAUGGGGCUUACUAUGUAUUUUUAACAUUUUUAUUUUCUUUUCAAAAUAGCAUGAACCUGAUUAACUAAGCAAACUAUAAUUGAAUAAUUGAAAGGAAAAAGGAUAACUACCAAGUUUACCUCUUGGCAAGGCGUUCGGUGUUUUUAAGUCCUCCGAACGGGACUCUCCGUUUUCUCAAUCAUCCUGGGAUUUGAUGGAUGGCGUAGUCGGUGGUUCCGGCUGCUAUAACUAUCUUCUCUCUCCACACCUGACUCGGUGCUACGGUCUCCUCAGGACAGUUCUGUUCAAGCUGUAUGUCUUCAGACCUUAUCACUUCUCCUUCGUAAUCUACCCAUCCGUCCUUGAUGAUUUGCCUCCUCUGGUUUCAGUUGUGUUGUCUUCUUCUUGUCCUGACCUGCUUAGAAUCUUCAACUAUAUAGUUAGAAUCAUUAAAGUAGUGGUGUACCUUCUCAGAGGGGAAGUGCAUGUGGACUUCUCCGGUUCCAAUAUAGAUGAUGACUUUGAUAGUGUUUGAGGAAUGGUCUUCCAAUGAUGGUAGGUGGAUCAUACUCGUCUUCUCCCAUGUCAAUGACCUGAAAAUCAUCUGGAGCUAAAUGUAUCUUGGUUGUAGGAGCAUGGUUCCAUGCAGGAGCUGAUAAGUGACUAUGGCCAUUGACGUCAGAUCCGGUGUCGUAGAGUGUCUUCUGAAAAGAAUAUCCAUUGAUUGUGCACUCGAUGCUUGGAACACCAGGGUCGUCCUUCU